rnacentral:rRNA from 1 species
ACGGGGGGAGCAAACGUUGUUCGGAAUCACUGGGCGUAAAGGGCGUGUAGGCGGCCGAAUAAGUGGGAUGUUAAAUCCCCUGGCUCAACCAGGGAACUGCAUCUCAUACUGUUUGGCUCGAGCACAUCAGAGGAGACUGGAAUUCCCGGUGUAGCGGUGAAAUGCGUAGAUAUCGGGAGGAAUACCGAUGGCGAAGGCAGGUCUCUGGGCCGACACUGACGCUCAUGCACGAAAGCGUGGGGAGCAAACAGGA